GAACAUGUGAUUCCCAAGUGAGAACCCAUGGGCCAACCCAACCAACAUCCCACACCCUCAGCCACACACAGGGAGGAGCGCCGCUCCUAGGAAUCCUUGGCCAGACUCUGAAGCCAUGAGAGGCCGAUAACAUCCGGAGCCCAUGAGAUAUCUAAAGCCCUGGGUUCAGAGUCCUACACAGACUAUGGAAGCCUUGGACUUUGCUGUGCCCAAGGAAAGGAAAGGUGCCUGAGCUGGAGGCACCCACAUGUACAGAACUAUCUAUUUAAACGGAUGCUUUCCUGCUGAUAGUAAAGAAGAAUGGUCAUGAUAUCAACAUCACGACACAGACCGCUGCCAAGCCACAGAGUGCCAAGCGUCUCUGUGGGGGCCUCGUAAGCAAUUACGAUGGAUGGAUGAAGCCCCAGCAAGUGUGCAAAUGAUCGGCUUAUUAUUCUUUUGAAGAGGAAAGCACAGAAAGUCAGGACAGAACAUAGAAACUCAUUGUUCUCUACUUCGGCUACAACCCCAAGGGCAGUUCUUCAGUGUCAACUAUCAAGAAUCGAGGCACAUUGAUCAUGAAGCUAGUGGCAAUUAAUCCACAGAUUGCUUGACUUGUGGGGGGCGGGGUCCCAUCCACGGUGCUGGGGAGGCCCCUGGCAAGAGGUGAUAUGUAUUUUUGAAAAUUGCCAAAAAUAUUAAAUUUUAUUUUUAAAAUUUAUUUUAAAAAUUUAUUAUUAAUUAAGACUCCGCUCUCUGUUCCAACUUCCACUUAGCCAUACUUCUUCUCAUGUCAAGUGGCACUGGGAUAGCUCCAGGCACGUUGCGGAUUUGGCCAGAGGGAAGUCGAGGAUACAUUCACUUUGGGAUUAGUGUAUAGUCACUUUCAUGGCGUUUUAGGGUGUAGGCAUGGCUUCUAGGAAUACUCCUAUAGUAAAUACUGGCUCCUAACAAGGUGAGACCAGAGACUAAGUCAUAAUACUGAAUGCAUUUUAUUAAGCCCAACCCACAUUUGGGAAGUUGAAAAGAAACAGGUUUUGAAGUAUAUAGAGCCAUUUACAAUAGAUACAUAAAAUUGUAAAUGCAUCAUAUUCUGGAUUUCAUAAUGUUUGUGGUAUUUGUCUGCUUUUCAAAAUGUAUGUUGAUUUCCUUUUCAUCCCAAAUAAAUAUUCACCUUCACUAA